rnacentral:lncRNA from 1 species
CGCGGAGUGUCGGUGAAGUCAGCGCCGAGUCUCAGAAAAACAGAGCGGGGCCAACUGCAGCGUGUAGUGCGAGCAGGGCAGGACACGCGCGCCGGCCCGCCCGGCGACCCGCGAGGAUUUCUCUAUUCAAUGAGUUUGUGAAGCCUCUCUGCUCAGAGCUCCAGGACCAAUGCAACUCCCCAGCAGCACCCUAAGCCACUGCAACCAGCAAGCAUGUGUGGCAACUAAAGAAAUGUAUGGCAGACCCCAGCUGAGCCAUGCCUUCUUCUGCAAUACAGAUAAAGUUUGCAUGUACAUAUUAAUACACAUACUAAUUUUUAUAUAUUAUUUCAUAAAUGUGUAU